rnacentral:misc_RNA from 1 species
GAUGAAGAACGCAGCGAAAUGCGAUAAGUAAUGUGAAUCGCAGAAUUCAGUGAAUCAUCGAAUCUUUGAACGCACAUUGCGCCCGCCAGUAUUCUGGCGGGCAUGCCUGUCUGAGCGUCAUUUCAACCCUCAUGCCCCUAGGGCGUGGUGUUGGGGAUCGGCCAAAGCCCGCGAGGGACGGCCGGCCCCUAAAUCUAGUGGCGGACCCGUCGUGGCCUCCUCUGCGAAGUAGUGAUAUUCCGCAUCGGAGAGCGACGAGCCCCUGCCGUUAAACCCCCAACUUUCCAAGGUUGACCUCAGAUCAGGUAGGAAUACCCGCUGAACUUAAGCAUAUCAAUAAGCGGAGGA